rnacentral:rRNA from 1 species
GACGAACGCCGGCGGCGUGCCUAAUACAUGCAAGUUGAGCGCUGAAGGUUGGUACUUGUACCAACUGGAUGAGCAGCGAACGGGUGAGUAACGCGUGGGGAAUCUGCCUUUGAGCGGGGGACAACAUUUGGAAACGAAUGCUAAUACCGCAUAAAAACUUUAAACACAAGUUUUAAGUUUGAAAGAUGCAAUUGCAUCACUCAAAGAUGAUCCCGCGUUGUAUUAGCUAGUUGGUGAGGUAAAGGCUCACCAAGGCGAUGAUACAUAGCCGACCUGAGAGGGUGAUCGGCCACAUUGGGACUGAGACACGGCCCAAACUCCUACGGGAGGCAGCAGUAGGGAAUCUUCGGCAAUGGACGAAAGUCCGACCGAGCAACGCCGCGUGAGUGAAGAAGGUUUUCGGAUCGUAAAACUCUGUUGGUAGAGAAGAACGUUGGUGAGAGUGGAAAGCUCAUCAAGUGACGGUAACUACCCAGAAAGGGACGGCUAACUACGUG